GCGCCUGUAGCUCAGCUGGAUAGAGCACUAGACUUCGAAUCUAGGGGUCAGGGGUUCGAAUCCUCUCGGGCGCG
rnacentral:tRNA from 1 species